rnacentral:rRNA from 1 species
CCUACGGGCGGCAGCAGUGGGGAAUAUUGGACAAUGGGCGAAAGCCUGAUCCAGCCAUGCCGCGUGUGUGAAGAGGGCCUUCGGGUUGUAAAGCACUUUCAGUGGGGAAGAAAGCCUUGGGGCUAAUACCCUCGAGGAAGGACAUCACCCACAGAAGAAGCACCGGCUAACUCCGUGCCAGCAGCCGCGGUAAUACGGAGGGUGCGAGCGUUAAUCGGAAUUACUGGGCGUAAAGCGCGCGUAGGCGGUCUGAUAAGCCGGUUGUGAAAGCCCCGGGCUCAACCUGGGAACGGCAUCCGGAACUGUCAGGCUAGAGUGCAGGAGAGGAAGGUAGAAUUCCCGGUGUAGCGGUGAAAUGCGUAGAGAUCGGGAGGAAUACCAGUGGCGAAGGCGGCCUUCUGGACUGACACUGACGCUGAGGUGCGAAAGCGUGGGUAGCAAACAGGAUUAGAUACCCCUGUAGUC